AUCGCUUCUCGGCCUUUUGGCUAAGAUCAAGUGUAGUAUCUGUUCUUAUCAGUUUAAAAAAGUGGUAGAGCCUGUUUGUAGCACAGACAGGCCCUGGGCACAUUGUACUGGUAGUUUACAUUGUUCUGUAUAUUUGUGUGCUUAAA
rnacentral:snRNA from 1 species